ACAUUUUGUGUCAGGCAUUUCGCAAAGUGGUGUUUUGAAUAGCAUAUCUUUUCAUCUCAGAUGUAUCUUGUAGGUUAACUUGGAUUCACUCGUUUCGUUUCAUCCAAGUGGAUUUCAUUGUUGUUUCAGCCACGUCUGCACAAUGUUCAUCAGUCAGGUGGUCAGCACCCAAACUAAAACCAUGAGGCAUGGUGGCCAGGAUGACGUCCAAGAAUUGCAUCCCAGCACCACAGAUGGGGGAGCCAACAUGAAGAGGUGUCCAGAGAGGCUUCUUUCGCUGGG